GAGUUUGAUCAUGGCUCAGAUUGAACGCUGGCGGCAUGCCUUACACAUGCAAGUCGAACGGCAGCAUGAUCUAGCUUGCUAGAUUGAUGGCGAGUGGCGAACGGGUGAGUAAUACAUCGGAACGUGCCCUGUAGUGGGGGAUAACUAGUCGAAAGAUUAGCUAAUACCGCAUACGACCUGAGGGUGAAAGUGGGGGACCGCAAGGCCUCAUGCUAUAGGAGCGGCCGAUGUCUGAUUAGCUAGUUGGUGGGGUAAAGGCCCACCAAGGCGACGAUCAGUAGCUGGUCUGAGAGGACGAUCAGCCACACUGGGACUGAGACACGGGCCCAGACUCCUACGGGAGGCAGCAGUGGGGAAUUUUGGACAAUGGGCGAAAGCCUGAUCCAGCAAUGCCGCGUGUGUGAAGAAGGCC
rnacentral:rRNA from 1 species